rnacentral:tRNA from 1 species
AAUAAGGUGCCUGACAAAAAGGGUAAUUUUGAUAGAAUUAAUAAUGCAUUAUAUGCCCUUAUUA